CCUACGGGUUGCACCAGUGGGGGAUAUUGCACAAUGGGGGAAACCCUGAUGCAGCGAUGCCGCGUGAAUGAUGAAGGCUUUCGAGUCGUAAAGUUCUGUCCUUAGGGAAGAUAGUGACGGUGCCUAAGAAGAAAGCCCCGGCUAAAUACGUGCCAGCAGCCGCGGUAAUACGUAUGGGGCGAGCGUUAUCCGGAAUUAUUGGGCGUAAAGAGUUCGUAGGCGGUUUUCUAAGUCAGAAGUGAAAGGCAGUGGCUCAACCAUUGUAAGCUUUUGAAACUGGGAAACUUGAGUGUUGGAGAGGAAAGCGGAAUUCCUAGUGUAGCGGUGAAAUGCGUAGAUAUUAGGAGGAACACCAGUGGCGAAGGCGGCUUUCUGGACAAAUACUGACGCUGAGGAGCGAAAGCGUGGGGCGCGAACAGGAUUAGAUACCCUCGUAGUC
rnacentral:rRNA from 1 species